rnacentral:misc_RNA from 1 species
AACAGAGUACAAACUAUGCAUCCACAUAUACGGACGGAUAUUCUCACACGCUCGCUUGUGUUUGUGCUUCGUUUUAACAGCCACAUUUAAACGGCCUCGUCGAAUUGAUUGUGAGUGGAUAAGAUAAAUGUUAGUUGAAUGAAGAAAAAAAAUGUGCCCAACGGUGCAGAGAAUGGAAUUACGUCCACCUCAUCGACAGUGUCGAUAGGGUCCCUCGACGCUUCAAGAAAUAGCAGUUCGCCUUCUUUCACAUAUACGAUAUAUGUGUUGGACUCUAAGUGUAUUUGGUGCUAACGACUUCUCGAUAAGGUAACGAGAAGAGUCGUAUUCGUUGUGAGUUACGAUGCAAAAGCCCAUCAAUGCGAAGUCGUCCAGGUAAUAAUGAAGAGACGUAGGACUACGUGAACUACCAAGUGUUACGGAAAUUGUAAAAAAAAGUGAAUGAAAAAGAGUAAGACGAAAGUGUCAGUGAUAAUGAAAAAGAGAUCAAAGUUGGAAGAACGAAAAAAGUGAAUCGGUGCAUGUAGUGACGGGAAGAAAAAAAGUUUUUUUCCGACCGAGGGAGUGCAGAAAGUGAAGGUAUAUUGAGGAGAAAAAAGGAGUUGAAGGUAAAAGGAUGUUAGAGAAAGGAAAAUAAUGAAGAAAAAAUAAUAGACUCGGAUAAAGCAAACGCGAAAGGAAAAAGUGAGUGCGGAUUCAAUAGAGAGGAAAAAAUCGAAGGAUAUAAGAGGAUAUAGUGGGUGCGUGAAGAAGAGUGGUGAAAAGAAAGCGGAGAUUCAGGUCGACGAGUUAGAUAGAAUAGAUGGUGGAGGUGCUCGAGUGGCGGCCUUGGGAGCCUACGGGGCCGUGCAGGGCACCUCGCACUUACCCCCAAAGCCUCCCGAGUAUCGAUCGCCAAAUUAAGGUGCUUUCGGGCCCGUUGAAGCCUACUUGUAAAGUGGCCCUUUCCCCUUACGGGGGGCCUUGCGAGUUUAACGCUUGGGUCACGUGGGCGCCCCGAGAGGGCCCCUUUGAAGUGAGCGAGGCUGGCGAGCGCAAUGUGGCAAAGCGGGGGCAUGGGUGCCCAUGCGGCAAACAACCCUUGGAUGAAACUCAUGGGGAUCGUUCACAAGGAACGACGGCAUCACGACACGGGCGGAGGAACGACCGGAGGUGGACAGGGUUCGGCCGUUGCAGGGAGCAACGAAAGGGCGCUCAAUCAAUCGCUGCCGAAGCUCAGCAGCCAGGACGAGGAUGGUCCGAACACUCACACCCAAUACACAGGCGUCACACACUUCGAGCCGAUACCACACGAUCAUGGCUUCUGUGGAAGAGUCACCAUCAACGUGAGCGGGUUACGGUUUGAGACACAACUACGCACGUUGAACCAGUUUCCGGACACGCUACUCGGCGAUCCGGCACGGCGAAUUCGAUACUUCGAUCCGUUACGCAACGAAUAUUUCUUCGAUAGGAAUCGGCCAUCCUUCGAUGCGAUACUUUACUAUUACCAAAGCGGUGGCCGGCUCCGUCGUCCCGUCAACGUACCGCUUGAUGUCUUUUCUGAGGAGAUCAAGUUUUACGAGUUGGGGGAGCUGGCCACCAAUAAGUUCAGGGAGGACGAAGGAUUCAUCAAGGAGGAAGAGAAGCCGCUACCAUCGCAUGAGAUGCAGAGAAAAGUAUGGCUACUUUUCGAGUAUCCGGAGAGCUCGCAAGGAGCGAGGGUUGUCGCAAUCAUCUCCGUAUUCGUGAUCCUACUCUCGAUCGUGAUAUUCUGCCUGGAGACUCUGCCCGAGUUCAAGCAUUACAAAGUGUUCAACACUACGACGAACGGCACGAAGAUAGAAGAGGAUGAAGUGCCGGACAUUACCGACCCGUUCUUCCUAAUAGAGACUAUUUGUAUCAUCUGGUUCACGUUCGAGUUAUCGGUGCGCUUCCUCGCCUGCCCAAAUAAGCUUAAUUUCUUCCGUGACCUUAUGAACUUCAUCGACAUCAUCGCGAUCAUUCCGUACUUCAUAACAUUAGGCACGGUGAUUGCCGGAAAGGAUAAUCAGCUAGAUCUGCCGAAGGCUCCGGUUAGCCCUCAGGACAAGAGUACCAAUCAGGCAAUGUCCCUAGCGAUAUUAAGGGUCAUCAGAUUGGUCAGGGUGUUCCGAAUAUUUAAGUUGUCCAGGCACAGUAAAGGCCUUCAAAUUCUUGGCCGAACGUUAAAGGCCUCCAUGAGAGAGCUCGGUCUGCUCAUCUUUUUCCUCUUCAUCGGUGUGGUGCUAUUCUCAUCGGCGGUUUACUUCGCGGAGGCCGGCUCCGAGAAUUCGUUCUUCAAGUCCAUUCCGGAUGCGUUCUGGUGGGCCGUUGUCACGAUGACGACCGUGGGCUAUGGUGACAUGACGUAUGAUGCCCGUGGGAGUCUGGGGAAAGAUUGUCGGCUCGCUGUGCGCCAUUGCUGGUGUCCUGACGAUCGCCCUUCCCGUACCAGUUAUCGUCUCAAAUUUCAAUUACUUCUAUCACCGUGAGACUGACCAGGAAGAGAUGCAGUCGCAGAACUUUAAUCACGUGACCAGCUGCCCGUAUCUCCCUGGCACUAUAGGUCAACACAUGAAGAAGAGCUCGCUAUCAGAAUCGUCGUCUGACAUAGUCGAGCUCGGGGAGGGUAUCCUGAUGACCCAACAGGAGGGUACGAAAAAACCUAACUGCAAUUCCCGCCACAACAAU